UACGGGGGGAGCAAGCGUUGUUCGGAUUUACUGGGCGUAAAGGGUGCGCAGGCGGUCGCGUGUGUCAGGUGUGAAAUCUCGGGGCUUAACUCCGAAACUGCGCCUGAAACUACGUGACUAGAGCAUUGGAGAGGGUAGCGGAAUUCACGGUGUAGCAGUGAAAUGCGUAGAUAUCGUGAGGAACACCAGAGGCGAAGGCGGCUACCUGGACAAUUGCUGACGCUCAGGCACGAAAGCGUGGGGAGCAAAAGGG
rnacentral:rRNA from 1 species